rfam:Omnitrophica WOR_2 bacterium RIFCSPLOWO2_01_FTLL_41_12 rifcsplowo2_01_scaffold_71347, whole genome shotgun sequence.
CAAGCGGCUGUUAUUGUUAGCAGCCUCUUCCAGUAAUGGAGGAGUGAAAAGUGGGCUAAGUCAGGGAAACCGUAACGUCGAGUCGACGGCAAUCCUGAGCUAGCAUCCCUUAACGGGAGGGCAAGUGCAGAGACUCUACACCCACUAUCCCGAGUGAGGCCUUCAAGGCCAAGUCGAGGGAUAAAGAUAAAGUCCGACUCUUGGGGAAACUCAAGU